rnacentral:misc_RNA from 1 species
GAUGAAGAACGUAGCGAAAUGCGAUAAGUAGUGUGAAUUGCAGAAUUCAGUGAAUCAUCGAAUCUUUGAACGCACAUUGCGCCCUUUGGUAUUCCUUAGGGCAUGCCUGUUCGAGCGUCAUUUGAAACCUCAAGCUCAGCUUGGUGUUGGGUGUCUGUCCCCGCCUCCGCGGGGACUCGCCUCAAAAUCAUUGGCGGCCGGUACGUUGGCUUCGAGCGCAGCAGAAACGCGAACUCGAGGCCCGGCGGAUCGGCGACCAGAAGUCUCUUCUUCACAGUUUGACCUCGGAUCAGGUAGGGAUACCCGCUGAACUUAAGCAUAUCAAUAAGCGGAGG